AUGAACGCACAAAACUCUCCGGACUUUCCAACCCAGUCCAUGUGAAGCCACUUUCAAAAGGGCGAAAACGCCGCGUGCCCGCGCAUCCGCCACUGCAACCAAACCCUCGCCGACGGCGGGCGGCGGCGGGCGGCCAUGUCGCGCUGGAAGGAGAAUGGCUCACCUCUCCCGCUCUACCCGAGCGGCGCCUCCAACCCCUCCCAUCUCCUCCCCUGCAAGCGCCCGCUGCAAUCACCAUCCCCAUGCCCACCGCCGCGCCGGCCGCUCGUCGACAUCACUAGCAACGCGCUGGAGCAGCGGGGUGGGUACGGGUAUACAACUCCCCUCGCGAAGCCUUCCAGGCCCUGCGGCCUUCUUCACGACGACGAAGAUGACAUGAACGAGGCAUUCUUGCGGGAGGUGGACGCCAUCUGUGAGGAGCACGCGCGGUCCACGGCCAAGAAGGAGAAGGAGAAGAAGGCAGCAGAGGAGCAUAAGGGGACGGGCGAAGCGCCGGUCGCGGCGGCAGCGGGUACGAUUGACGCUGCGGGAACAGAGAUAGCAACGCUUGACGAUGCUUUCUGGGAGGAGGUGAGCGCCAUCUGUGAGGAGUGUGAUGCCCAGUCUGCUGCCAAGAGCCAGGAGGGGACGAAGGAAGAAGAAGAGGAGGAGGAGAGCUUGGUGCUGUCCUGCGGUGAUGCUUCGCUCCCCCCUGCUAUUUCCAUCACAGCGGAGGGUGUGGAGUUUGAAGAUGCAUUCUGGAAGAUCAAUGCCGUUAGUGAGGACCACAGCACCAAAGCUCAUGCCAAGUAUCAGGAGGGGCUCAAGGGGAUGGAGGAGAAAGAUGGAUUGAUAGCAUUGUGCGGUGAUCCUUCAGUUUCCCCAGUAAUUUCCAUUGCAAAGGGGGAUGGAGAGCUUGUCGAUGCACUCUUUGGGGAGGUUGGUGCCUCCAUCCAUGAGGGGCAUGCUGAUAUCUCUGCUGCUAAGGUCCAGGAGGAGCAGCAAGAUAUGGAACUAGAAAAGGAGGAAGAUGAAGUGUGUGCUCCAAAGAAGUACUAUGAAUAUUUGCACUCCUUGAAUGAUAGGCAGAAGGAGGCUGCAUGUAAUGAUGUGGCUGUUCCACUAAUGAUUGUUGCUGGUCCAGGAAGUGGAAAGACUUCCACAAUGGUUGGUAGGGUGCUCACACUUCUCAAAGAGGGAAUUCCACCAUCAAACAUUCUUGCUAUGACAUUCACCACGGCUGCUGCCUCAGAAAUGAGAGAACGGAUAGGGACAGUGGUGGGAAAGGCAGUUGCCAAGGAGAUCGCAAUAAGCACAUUUCACUCAUUCUGCUUGCAGCUUUGCAGAACACAUGCUGAAAAGCUAGGCCGCACAUCUGAAUUCAUAAUCUAUGGACAUGGACAACAACGAAGGGCGGUUAUUGAGGCAGAGCGUCUAUUGGAAAAUGACAAAAAUAAUGGUGUUGGAGAUACAACUAAACAGUAUGAUGCGGACAUAAAAAAUUCUUUCAAAGACAAAGCUAAAAAGUGGCAGAAAUUUAUUACACAGGCAAAAGCUUCAGGAAGAACUCCAGAGGACUAUGAAAUGAAGGGUGAUUUGACAGGAGCUUCUGUUCUUCGGCAUUACAAUGAAAUAUUAAGAUCUUGUAAUGCUCUUGAUUAUCAUGAUUUUAUUAACUCAUCCAUAACCCUUCUCACGAACUUUCCUGAAGUAUACAAAGAGUGUCAGGAUAUGUGGCGGGCAAUUGUAGUUGAUGAGUUUCAGGAUACCAGUGCUAUGCAGUAUUGUCUUCUGAAGAUUCUAGCUUCCCACAAUCAUAUAACUAUUGUCGGUGAUGAAGAUCAGUCCAUCUUCAGUUUCAAUGGUGCCGAUGUAUCUGGCUUCGAUUCAUUUCGUAGAGAUUUUCCAGAUUACAAAGAGAUCAGGUUGAGCAAGAAUUACCGCUCCACACGUGCAAUUGUUGAAGCAGCAACAGCUCUAAUUCAGAACAACAGUAAGCGGCAUCAUCGUAAGCUUGUAGAGACCGACAACCCUUCUGGUUGUAAGAUCACUGUCAAGGAGUGCCACAGUGAAGAUUCACAAUGUGCCUUUGUUAUUGACAAAAUCAUUGAAACUACGUCUACUACCGCUGAGGGGUGCAACUUUGGCAACAUUGCUGUCCUAUAUCGAAGACAGGUAACUGGCAAAGCUUUCCAAGUCUCCUUCCGCAACAGGAAAAUUCCCUUUAAUGUUCAUGGUGUGGCAUUCUACAGGAAAAAGGUGAUCAAAGCUAUCAUGGCAAUACUUCGGACCACAUUACCUGGUUGUGAUGAUGGCCCGUGGUGUCAAGCCUUCAAGGCUCUUUUACCUUGUGACAAAGAAGAAAAGAAGAAGAUUAUAGAUCAUGUUGAAAAGAUUUCACUGGCUAGAGAGUGUAGUUUUAUAUCUGCUGCUACUGACAUCUUCAGCGCUAAGGUCUCUGGUACCUUCAAAAGGUCCCAGAUUACUCAAGGACGUAAGGUUUUAUCGACUUUGGAUAGCCUAUCAAAACUUGUUGAAAGGGAACAAUCAGUUUCAGUCAUCAUUUCCUCUGCGGGAGACAUGCUACCUCAGAAAUAUCUCCUUGAGAAGCGUGCAGUUGUUGACAUUGAUAAUGGCAAAUUAUUAAAUGAAGAUAGUGAUAUCAGAUCGGUCCUUCAGUUUUUAAUGGAUGAUGUGUCUGACUUCUUGUCAACACAUUUUUCUAGUUCAGUGGAGAGAAGCAAGACUGACGAGAAAGGCUGUGCUUCUACACUUCAAGCUUUCAUUGAUUAUAUAUCUUUGAGGGAAACCGAAAAUUUUCGAUCCCGAAAGGAGGAAAAUAAGAAUUCUAUCACAUUAACAACUAUUCAUCAGUCAAAAGGUUUGGAGUGGGAUGUCGUGUUUAUUGUGCAGGCAAAUGAUUCAGAAAUUCCUUUGUUGCAUGAGUACAAUUGUACUGUGAAAGAAGCUGGAAGUACACUGGAGGAGGAGAGGAGGUUACUCUAUGUUGCAAUGACACGAGCUCGGAAAAAGCUGUACAUCUUGCAUGUUACAGUUGACUCUAACCGUCAGCUUCUGCAACCUUCACGUUUCCUCAGAGAAAUUCCAGUUCACCUUCUUGAGGUGCAGGGCGAAGAGACUCUGAGAAAAAUGCCUGAACAGCCUUCAGGUGAUAUUCCUUUUGAUGACUCUGAAGGGAAUAUAUCAAUCGGAAAGCCAAUUAUGGGACAGAACGAAGUUUCACCUUAUCCAGAACUGGCUCAAGGAUGCCUUGCUAAUGAUUUCUUGAGAAAGUUUGACAUUGAUGAUAGAUCGGUAGUCUCACAUAUAUUUCAUAAUUGGGGAAAGAAGCAGGCAUUUCAAAAUCCAAAGAGAUUACUUGAAAAGUGACCACGCAUUUGUGACAUUUACCACUAAAGCUUUGGGAUUGCCAGUGCCCUUCUAUGCCUAUUUCAUGUUAGAUGUAUGCUUGAAUUUUCAGAUCAGUUUUGUGAUUGAUGAACGCCUACGUGGUAAAGGAUACAAGCGCAAGGAUGUCUUGCGAAAACUGAAGUUGUUCCUAAGCGGUGAUGAAGCAUUGGGCUACGCACAAUAUGUUAUCAAGUGGGAACAGAUUCCAAUAGAGAAGCGGAGCCAGUUGAUGAGAGAAAGGCAGGAACAUUUCCAAAAGCAGAGGAUUGAGAACUCUAUGGGUUCGUCAGAACCCACAGCCAAGCAGAUAUCGUACCUUCGAAACCUGGGGUGCACCAUCACUCCGACUUCUCGCUUGCACGCAUCAAAUCUCAUCGAAAAGUACAAAUCACUCUGACUUGGUCGACGGAAUUUGUGCUAGAACCAUAAGGCCAUACACCUUAUAUGUUUAUGUACAUGCUGUCUAUACUAUGAAUGUAGCAGUGUCCACUCCAUUGUAGUGUUGUGUACUGGAAACAUCAGGGUUGUAUGACAGCUCCGAUCAUAUCUAUUUUCUGUUCUUAGCCAUAUUCCUGUCAUACAUGCUAUAUUGCUGUGACGCCAAGAGUUUUUGCUUC